GCUAUUGCUGAAUUUAAAUGGAUUAAGCCAAUUUAUCAGAGCGGACCUAUCUGAGUCCGUAGAGUGGAGAAAAACGAGCUUGCUGUUGAAUUUCAGUCGGCGUCGUACCAGGAGCAAAAUCGUCCAACUUUUUCUAUGUAACCUGAAACACAAAACAAAGUAUAUUAACGCGUUCAGGAGAUCGAAACAAGCAAGUUACCUGAAGACAACGUCGCCGGACAGUCGGCCACGCGCCGCCUCUCCGGGAGUGCCUCGACCUGCUGGUGAUGGGUAUGGCCUCCGUUUGUCCAACUGAGCUUUGGUUUGUGAAUAAUUGAUAAUUUUCAGAUUCGGGUUCUAAGGUUCAUGUCCGAAAAUCAGCCGAUUUUGAGCCGAUUUUUGCUACCCGUGCUCUGAUACCAGAUGUUAGGAUCUUCGUUAAGCUGCUCAAAGUGAUUUACGGGCUCGGUUAACCAUUAAACAUCAAAUUCAACACCAAACCGAGAGAUGACCGAUCGCCGGCGUCCGCCCUUCCUAUGGUUGCUAUUUCCUCUUUUGCUUGUUGAUUCUACCACACGCUUAGGAUGGAUACCACAUAGGUAAGAGUCACAAAGCCUCAAGCAAUUGGUAGGGAAGAUAACUUGGCAGGAAGCAUGAAGGAGAAGAAGAAGAAUAACACCUCUCUCUCUUGGGUUCUCUUCAAGCACGGCACAAAGGAGUAGGGGUUAACUACCAAUAUAUAUAUUAGUUAAAUGGCCAACUUAAGGUAAGUCACAAUAUGGUAAGUAGGCUCGACUAGGGUUAAGUCCCAAUAGAAAAACAACAAGCCACAAAGAGUAUAAGCCAUCCAAUAGGUAAAGCAAUGUUAGGUCGGUUCAUCCAUUAUUCGAUGUUGAAUUAUCGUUCAGUCAUUCAUGUCGACUGAUAAAACUGGUUUUCAUCAUCGCCCGGGAGGUCGUUUGACAACAUGAUGUUUAACACACCGGUUUGAGGUCAAAGCCUGAUGAGACUGUGGGCAUCAUGGGGAAGUCUUCUUGGCACAGGACGUGAUGAAAGCCCAAUGUGUACCAUAAAACAAUGUCCCUGUCCUCAAUAGGUCGAUCCCUGGAAAUUCAAAUACAAUUUUAUGAGCAUCGGACAAUAAAAGAGUAUGCAGUAAGAUGUAAUGCAAUGUUAUUUUGGCUGAAUAUUAUUACCUGUCAGACCAUACUUGAAGAGUAUCUUCACCAUGACUCUGAUAGGCAAACAAACAUCCAGAUCAUUGCUCCGACUUGUUAUACUGCGUAACCCAAAAUUGGUUAUUAGUAAAUGCACUUCUCUUCUGUGGAGGAUCUUCAGGAUCGAGCAAACUAGCAGCGGUGCCAGCAGGAACCACCUUAUGGCCAACAGGAUUACCCACUUUUGUUUUCUUGUUUGGAUUAACCACGUGGAAUUCAGAUGGAUUGUACAACGACAACUUAAUUUGUGCUUCUUUCUCAGUUUUAGCCACUUCCUUGUUAACUUUCAUGUAGCUCUUCCUUGGUGACUUCCCGUUGGUGUAUUCCCUUUGCAGGUGAACAUUUACAAAAGAAUCAUCUAUGCCAUCAAUAUCCAUAUCGAGGUAGAAAUUGACGUAGUGAUCGUGCACAACUCCAAUUAUAUUUUCUGAUAAGAGGGUGCCAUAGAGUUCUUCUCCGUUUACUUGGUUCAUGUUCACAUAAGAGGUGCCUUUCACAAUCACUAUGCCAGUAAGUGAAACCUGGACAGUUAUUAGCGCAUUAGAAUUAAGAAUUAUAUAAGCAAUUUAGGCUAAACACAACUGUUAAACCAAAAAAUUCAUUUAUUUCCUGACUAAUGAGUUCUUCUUGACAAAUUGUUUUGACAAUAAAUUUAUAUGCUUUAGACAAGCAACAAGUUGAUGAAUUACAACUAUUGAGGAACAAGGUGAUAAAUGCAGAAAGCCGCACAUUGUGGUCCUUGUGAACCCUUUUAUGUUUGGCAGAUUCUAAACAUAUUGUGGCUGCCAAUUGCUAGCAAGAUUUGGUCGAUAAGGCCAAGAUUCAUUCCAUGGCUUCAUUCGUAGACGCUGUGUUAAGUAAAUAUUUCUAGAUUUUCUCUGCAAUAUUGUAUUACAUUCAGUUUGUAAUUUGUAACAAUAGUGACACAAGAUAUUAAAUCAGUCUUAGUUGCAAGGAUGGUAGCGUCACUCGCUAACUAUGAUUAUGUUAUCAACUGGGAAUUCCAUGCAACUAACUAUGAUUAUGUUAUCGACAAUGAAAUGCACGAAAAGUUAUUUCACCAAAAUCUUGAUGUCUCAGAGACAUUUGGAAUUGUUAUGAGGAAAACUGAACCAUUAUUUGCUAUUCCUUCUCCGAGAUUGUCUAAUUUGAGUCUGUAUGCAUAAUCAUGUUAUAUUUUGAACAUUAGGUACUUGUGUGGCUUGAUAUAUUGUUAAUCCGUAUGGCACGUGCUCUAAUGAUUACAAAAGUGUACCGAUUGUGAGAAAAAUAAAGUGGACUUGAGAGUCCUAAUUAUGGUUUCUUAUAUAGACUAUUUACUUUCAAUUUUUAUUCCAAGUCUAACGUCAAUCUAAAUUAGUCUAGUGAGCUAUUAACAAAACAAGAUUUUAUUUUCGAACUAGUUUAUUCUAAAUUAAUUAUAAUAUGCUUAUAAUUCAAUUAAAUCUAAAAUAAGUUACAUGAUUUUUAUUUUAUAAUAAACUUAAAAUUUUAUAACUCCCCGUUCAUUAAGGUACUAGAAUACUUUAUUUAUUUAAGUGAAGAGAUAUUAAACCAACAGAAAUUAAUUCUUGGAUCCGAGAAAUUUUAACUUUUUCCUUCAAUGGUGCAAAUUUUAAAUGAUUUGUCUUGCCAGUUAACUGUUGUUAUCUAUUUUGAUAAUUUUUAUUAUGGUGCUUAAGAUGAGUUUAUAUAUAUUUUGAUCUAAUAAAACUACAAUAAACAAUGAAUAUGUAGAAAUCCUUUUAAUCAUGGCAAUGAACUAGGAUUUUUGGCAUGUUGAGUUCAUGCACUGUUAAGGACAUCUCCACUUUUCAUUCUAAAAGUAAAAUACUAAGGAUUUCAUGUAAGUAAACCUUCUCUCGUCCUCAUGUGUGCGCUACCUUGUUAAAAGUAUAAAUGUGUUACCUAAAUUCCCUGUUAUGUGACAUUGAUAUUUGAUUAUUACAUUUUAUGUUAUUAUUCAUGCACGUUAAUACAUUCAUAAGCAUACAAGAAGUUUCAAGGAAUAAAAUGUCUGCAUAUGUCAUUGCUCAGUGAAUAUUUUAAAAAAAUAUGUAUCCCAAAUUUUUUUAUUACGAGGUAUAUGUCUAUGUCAUAAAAAGUAUGAGUAGGAAACGAGACAUGGGGGACCAGAGCACACAACCAAUGUUUAAUGAUAAUGUUAAUAUUAACAGCUUUGCGAUAUUACUAGUAGGACUCUACCAGGUUCCAAAUAAUAAUUGUCCACUUCAUUUUGAUUGAUUAUGCGAUACACCAAGUGAACUCACGUCAAUGUUGAGUUCUUAAAGAAAUGAAAGAAAGUGGAUAUAUAUUAAGAGUUGUUUUUAUUUUAAAGUAAUUCAUACGUAUAUCAUAAGAUUGCAUCUUUUGUUUAAUAAGCAUUAGCUCAUGCUACGUUAUCUCUCCAAAUUUUUAAAUGAUGAAAGCAUGAUGAUUUGAGAUGACUAAUUAUGAUGUGAUGGACUCAGUAUUACAUUUAAAUAUCGACUUCUUUUAGAAAUUAAAGUUGACAUUUAAUUUUAUUAUUAUUUUUUCAUUUAAGUGCUAAAAAAUUCUACACGUUAUGUUCAUAAAUGAAGUCAAUAAUGUUCAUUAUAUUAAAUAAAAAUUUAAUCCCUUGUGCAUUUGUGAUUUUAAGAGUAAGCCCUUGUUUGAGCUCCUUUCUUUUGGAAAAAUACAUUUUUGGACAAUGUUUUGACAUUAUUUCAAUUGUACAUUUUUCAAUAAAAUAAUAUUACACACAAAUCCAAAAUUUUUCCUUAUUUUUUAACCACACAUUUUUCAUCGAUAUACUAUUCAAAAAUUCAUUCUUCUCAAAGAAUAGGGUUCAAACAAGGGCUAAUUCAAAAGUUAAUUCUCCCAGAUACCUAGAUUUGGCGUUGUUACAAUUCAGCUCCAAUUUGAGCGUUCAGUGUAGGCUGUCGCUCGCCUACCAUGAGGUUGGGCAUUCGAGCACCACGUGUCAUUCGUUUCAUGCGAGCUUUAUCGCUCGAGCAUAGGUUGUAUUCGAUCCACGGCCCGUUAUGCAAUUUGAAGCGAUUUUAGGUUUCCAUUCCAUCUAUAAAAUCAUUGCUAAGGUUUUAUUUUAGCACACAACCUCUAGACUCGUCUUAGCAUUGAGAGAAUAUUAUUUCCCUAUAGUUAGCAUUAAAUUCUUGUAAAUGCCAUACUUUUGAUAAAAUAAAUUCUCUUCCUCUAUCAAAUUUAUGUGUUCAUGUGUUGUAAUUGUUACUUCAUAUUUUGUCAUAUAUCUCGCAUAUUCCUAACAAUAAAGCAACUACGGGUUGUAUUUGAGGUUUCCAACUUGUACACUUGCUAGUAAAUACACAUGCAGUAGUUGAUUUCCAACUACCUUUAGCCUCACGAAAUUUACAUCUACAAUCCCUCAAGCUUUACACCUUCACUACUUGAUUUAAACAUUAAACCUGACUGAGAUGAUCCCUGACAUCAAAGCAACCAUUUUAAUGCAUCGCAGUGCUGAGGUCUUGAGUUGGCCAUGAACAUUCUUAUUGUACUUAUAGCAUGGUACACAUCAAGUCUCAUAAUUACAAUGAUUGGGCCCACUGUCUUAUAAGAAGGUACCUUUUGAAUGUAUUUUCACUUCAAAUUCGAUAGCCCCACUUGAAAUGACAUGGUUAAAGUAAUACAUUUUGAUUUUAAUUUUCAUUCCAUUAUAUUCUAUUUGAAAAUUAAUGGAGGCCAAACAGAACGACAAUAUUGUCAAAAUGUUUGAAAUUUGUCUCGGAACUAAAACAAUUUUAGGUCUCUGUCUUUCAGGGCCAGUCCUGGGCACGGGCAAAUGAGGCCAGUGCCUCAAGCCCAAAACCACAAAGGGCCUAUGUUAGCCCAAAGUUUUUUUUUUUUAAUAUUAAAAGAAGGAAAAAGAAAAAGAAAAUAGUUUUUUCAUUAAUUGUGAGAUGAUUGAGAUAUUUGUUUGUUGUUUUAAUCUUUAGUUUUAAGUUAACAAUAUGUUACAUAAUAUAUCGUUGAAUUUAGCAUUUACGUUGAUUUUGGGAGACUUAAUUUUUAGACUUUGUCUCGAGCCCCGACAAUCAUAGGACUGGCCGUGCUGUCUUUCAAUGUCCAUGUCCAAUAUUCUGUCUAAUAUAUCCUAAAUCUUUUAUGUCAAAUUCAGUACUUUACACCGUCUUUAUAUGGUUUAUUUUAUGCAUGUUUGAACUAAUCAAUAACAUGUCAUCAACUUAAAAUAGCAAGUAAGGAGUCAAUUAAUUUUUUACUUGAAAUUUAAUUUGAAGUGGAACGGCAGAAAUUUUUCAUAAGAAAGACAGUGAUCAAAUUUUUAUAGUUCAAGAACACAUAGCUAUGAUUAAUGAUUACUAUCCCCUUUCAAGGAAAAAUUAAAAAUAAAAAUAUCGACAUCAGCCCAGCCCCAAAGAAUUCGCUUCGAUGCCAAUGCCUACAUACCAUCAUAAUCUAGUUCAUCUUGGGGACAGACAUCAGCCCAGCCCCCAAAGAAUUCAUUUCAAUAUGGGCAGCGGAUCACUCAACGCACUAAGGGGUUUGUGUCACCCUGCCCGACCCGACUGAACAAAAUGCUCGUUCUCAGGCUGAAGCAGCAGCUUUGCAAACUGGCAGCUCUUUCUCAACAUAUGGUGCAACCCUAAGAACAGGGUUUCUCUCAAAGAAAUUCACCGGUUUGAGGUCGAAGCCUGCUGAGACUGUGGGCAUCAUGGGGAAGUCUUCUUGGCACGGGACGUGAUGAAAGCCCAAUGUAUACCAUAAAACAAUGUCCCUGUUCUCA
rnacentral:lncRNA from 1 species